rnacentral:rRNA from 1 species
CCUACGGGAGGCAGCAGUGAGGAAUAUUGGUCAAUGGCCGGAAGGCUGAACCAGCCAAGCCGCGUGAAGGACGAAGGUGCCAAGCAUUGUAAACUUCUUUUGUCAAAGGACAAAAUCAGGCUCGAGAGCCUGACCGAGGGUACUUUACGAAAAAGCAUCGGCUAACUCCGUGCCAGCAGCCGCGGUAAUACGGAGGAUGCGAGCGUUAUCCGGAUUUAUUGGGUUUAACGGGUGCGUAGGCGGGCUGUUAAGUCAGCGGUAAAAUCCCGAGGCUAAACCCGGGCGAGCCGUUUAAACUGGUGGUCUUGAGAGGUCGAGAGGUAUGCGGAAUG